GCUUGUGGCCCCUGUGGGGCACCUACGCUGGAACAGCCUGUUCCUGAAGGAAUGCAUCCCAUGGAAAGGGACCCAUGCUGGAACAACUCAUGAAGAACUGUAGUUUGUGGGAAGGACUCAUGUUGGAGAAGUUUGUGGAGGACUGUCUCCCAUAGGAGGGACUUCACUCUGAAGCAGGGGAAG